rnacentral:lncRNA from 1 species
GUAAAGCCUACUGUCGCUCUGAAAUGGAAAGUAAGGGUCAGUGCUAAUCACUGAGUGAGGAUCUACGUCCUAGUCACUCUAAGGUACAAAUAAUCAUAUAGAAAGUAUACAACAUAUAACACAUAAGGCUAAUUCUAUAAUCUAAUUUAUAUCCAUAUUUUAUUUGGGAUCCCGGCUCACAUAUGCUGACGACUCACGUAGAGUUAGUGGCACUAAAAUGGC